rnacentral:rRNA from 1 species
AUGACCGGAAAUGUUCAUCACGAAGCCAAUGCAUUUGACAUCAUUGAGCUCACUGGUUUGCCCACUCCUGACGAUCUCUACGAGCAUGGCUGUCAGCUGCAUAGUGAAGCUAUUGAGAGCAUCUUUAAGAGGUCGGAACCUGAUAUGAGUCAGAUGCUCAGCAUGAUGAAGCCAUUGCCCCAAGAUGCUGCUUAUCCAACAGAGUUCUUCGUUGAAGACCUUGAGUAUUUGCCACGAACCAUCUAUCACAUCAUCAGGCGAACUCUCUGGCCCAUCAAAGGGCACUCUCCAAAUGCCAAGCUUGAGGGUGCAAUAAAGACUUUGGUCUUCUAUAUUCUUCAUGGAAAAUGCUUCAAUGCACAGGACUUAUUCAUCCGCCAACUUGCUGCAUCGGGCUCUGAUCUGUUUGGUUUGAAGUUCUACGCCCCAUGGGUAAUGCGGCUAAUUAAACUUCACUCCGAUAUCUCAUAUCAGCCAUCUGCUCGCAAUCAUAGGAUUUUUCUGCCUAAUGUGGAUAUCUCUACUGAAGCCAUCUAUCCUGACCCUGCAAAGGAACCUCUAAGUCUUCAGAAUGCAGAGCAUCAGAGUUUCUCACAGAAUAUUGAAGGAGUUGAAGCAGUCACUCGGGUGUAUCCUUUGGCUGGCACUACACGUGCACCACACCCUGCGUCUACUGAAGUCACUGAUAGUACAACUGCUCCAAGACCCAAGAAGCGCACUCGUGUUCUCAACGACCGAGAGCUUCUUGUGGCUCUUCAUCAGAAACAGGAUAGGUAUCAUGACUGGCUGAAGCAUCAAGAUGAAAAGCCUCUUGGUGGAAGUUAA